rnacentral:rRNA from 1 species
AUUGAACGCUGGCGGCAGGCCUAACACAUGCAAGUCGAGCGGAUGAAGGGAGCUUGCUCCUGGUUCCCGCGGCGCACGCGUGAGUAAUGCCUAGGAAUCUCCCUGGUAGUGCGUGAUAAUGUCUUCAAACGGGCGCUACUACCGCCUACGUCCUGAGGGAGCAAGAGGGUGAUCUUUGGACCCGGCGGUUGGGGAUGAAUUCAGGGCGUAUCAGCGUGUUGGUGGGGUAGUGGCCUACCAAGGAGUUGACGGGCAGCUGGCCUGAGAGGGUGAUCGGCCACAUUGGGAAUGAGAUACGGCCCAGACUGCUAGGGGAGGCAGCAGUGGGGAAUAGUGCACAAUGGGAGGAAGCCUGAUGCAGCAACGCCGCGUGCGGGAUGACGGCCUUCGGGUUGUAAACCGCUUUCGCCUGUGACGAAGCGUGAGGGACGGUAAUGGGUAAAGAAGCACCGGCUAACUACGUG